AUACGUAGGUGGCAAGCGUUGUCCGGAUUUACUGGGUGUAAAGGGCGCGUAGGCGGCCGAUUAAGUCUGGAGUGAAAGUCCUGCUUUCAAGGUGGGAAUUGCUUUGGAGACUGGUUGGCUUGAGUGCGGAAGAGGUAAGUGGAAUUCCCAGUGUAGCGGUGAAAUGCGUAGAGAUUGGGAGGAACACCAGUGGCGAAGGCGACUUACUGGGCCGUAACUGACGCUGAGGCGCGAAAGCGUGGGGAGCGAACAGGAUUAGAUACCCUGGUAGUCCACGCGGUAAACGAUGAAUGCUAGGUGUAGGGGGUAUCGACUCCCUCUGUGCCGCAGUUAACACAAUAAGUAUUCCGCCUGGGGAGUACGGCCGCAAGGUUGAAACUCAAAUGAAUUGACGGGG
rnacentral:rRNA from 1 species